rnacentral:rRNA from 1 species
CGGGUGAGUAACGCGUGAGUAACCUGCCUCAGAGUGGGGGACAACAGUUGGAAACGACUGCUAAUACCGCAUAAGACCACGGGGUCGCAUGGCCCUGAGGUAAAAGGAUUUAUUCGCUUUGAGAUGGACUCGCGUCCAAUUAGCUGGUUGGUGAGGUAACGGCCCACCAAGGCGACGAUUGGUAGCCGGACUGAGAGGUUGAACGGCCACAUUGGGACCGAGACACGGCCCAGACUCCUACGGGAGGCAGCAGUGGGGGAUAUUGCACAAUGGGGGAAACCCUGAUGCAGCGACGCCGCGUGGAGGAAGAAGGUUUUCGGAUUGUAAACUCCUGUCGUAAGGGACGAUAAUGACGGUACCUUACAAGAAAGCCACGGCUAACUACGUGCCAGCAGCCGCGGUAAAACGUAGGUGGCAAGCGUUGUCCGGAAUUACUGGGUGUAAAGGGAGCGCAGGCGGACCGGCAAGUUGGAAGUGAAAACUAUGGGCUCAACCCAUAAACUGCUUUCAAAACUGCUGGCCUUGAGUAGUGCAGAGGUAGGCGGAAUUCCCGGUGUAGCGGUGGAAUGCGUAGAUAUCGGGAGGAACACCAGUGGCGAAGGCGGCCUACUGGGCACCAACUGACGCUGAGGCUCGAAAGUGUGGGUAGCAAACAGGAUUAGAUACCCUGGUAGUCCACACCGUAAACGAUGAUUACUAGGUGUUGGAGGAUUGACCCCUUCAGUGCCGCAGUUAACACAAUAAGUAAUCCACCUGGGGAGUACGACCGCAAGGUUGAAACUCAAAGGAAUUGACGGGGGCCCGCACAAGCAGUGGAGUAUGUGGUUUAAUUCGAAGCAA